UACAGAGGGUGCAAGCGUUGUUCGGAAUUAUUGGGCGUAAAGCGCGUGUAGGCGGCAUGGCAAGUCGGGUGUGAAAGCCCUCAGCUCAACUGAGGAAGUGCGCCCGAAACUGCCGUGCUUGAGUACCGGAGAGGGUGGCGGAAUUCCGCAAGUAGAGGUGAAAUUCGUAGAGAUGCGGAGGAACACCGGUGGCGAAGGCGGCCACCUGGACGGUCACUGACGCUGAGACGCGAAAGCGUGGGGAGCAAACAGG
rnacentral:rRNA from 1 species